GAUGAACGCUGGCGGCGUGCCUAAUACAUGCAAGUCGAGCGAACAGACGAGGAGCUUGCUCCUCUGACGUUAGCGGCGGACGGGUGAGUAACACGUGGAUAACCUACCUAUAAGACUGGGAUAACUUCGGGAAACCGGAGCUAAUACCGGAUAAUAUAUUGAACCGCAUGGUUCAAUAGUGAAAGACGGUUUUGCUGUCACUUAUAGAUGGAUCCGCGCCGCAUUAGCUAGUUGGUAAGGUAACGGCUUACCAAGGCAACGAUGCGUAGCCGACCUGAGAGGGUGAUCGGCCACGCUGGGACUGAGACACGGUCCAGACUCCGACGGGGGGCAGCAGUAGGGACUCUUCCGCAAUGGGCGAAGGCCUGACGGAGCAACGCCGCGUGAGUGAUGAAGGUCUUCGGAUCGUAAAACUCUGUUAUUAGGGAAGAACAAAUGUGUAAGUAACUAUGCACGUCUUGACGGUCCCUAAUCAGAAAGCCACGGCUAACUACG
rnacentral:rRNA from 1 species